GCUACAGGCUUAACACAUGCGAGUCGAGGGGCAGCAUGGUCUUAGCUUGCUAAGGCCGAUGGCGACCGGCGCACGGGUGAGUAACACGUAUCCAACCUGCCGUCUACUCUUGGACAGCCUUCUGAAAGGAAGAUUAAUACAAGAUGGCAUCAUGAGUCCACAUGUUCACAUGAUUAAAGGUAUUCCGGUAGACGAUGGGGAUGCGUUCCAUUAGAUAGUAGGCGGGGUAACGGCCCACCUAGUCUUCGAUGGAUAGGGGUUCUGAGAGGAAGGUCCCCCACAUUGGAACUGAGACACGGUCCAAACUCCUACGGGAGGCAGCAGUGAGGAAUAUUGGUCAAUGGGCGAGAGCCUGAACCAGCCAAGUAGCGUGAAGGAUGACUGCCCUAUGGGUUGUAAACUUCUUUUAUAAAGGAAUAAAGUCGGGUAUGGAUACCCGUUUGCAUGUACUUUAUGAAUAAGGAUCGGCUAACUCCGUGCCAGCAGCCGCGGUAAUACGGAGGAUCCGAGCGUUAUCCGGAUUUAUUGGGUUUAAAGGGAGCGUAGAUGGAUGUUUAAGUCAGUUGUGAAAGUUUGCGGCUCAACCGUAAAAUUGCAGUUGAUACUGGAUAUCUUGGGUGCAGUUGAGGCAGGCGGAAUUCGUGGUGUAGCGGUGAAAUGCUUAGAUAUCACGAAGAACUCCGAUUGCGAAGGCAGCCUGCUAAGCUGCAACUGACAUUGAGGCUCGAAAGUGUGGGUAUCAAACAGGAUUAGAUACCCUGGUAGUCCACACGGUAAACGAUGAAUACUCGCUGUUUGCGAUAUACAGCAAGCGGCCAAGCGAAAGCGUUAAGUAUUCCACCUGGGGAGUACGCCGGCAACGGUGAAACUCAAAGGAAUUGACGGGGGCCCGCACAAGCGGAGGAACAUGUGGUUUAAUUCGAUGAUACGCGAGGAACCUUACCCGGGCUUAAAUUGCAGAUGAAUUACGGUGAAAGCCGUAAGCCGCAAGGCAUCUGUGAAGGUGCUGCAUGGUUGUCGUCAGCUCGUGCCGUGAGGUGUCGGCUUAAGUGCCAUAACGAGCGCAACCCUUGUUGUCAGUUACUAACAGGUUCCGCUGAGGACUCUGACAAGACUGCCAUCGUAAGAUGUGAGGAAGGUGGGGAUGACGUCAAAUCAGCACGGCCCUUACGUCCGGGGCUACACACGUGUUACAAUGGGGGGUACAGAGGGCCGCUACCACGCGAGUGGAUGCCAAUCCCAAAAACCUCUCUCAGUUCGGACUGGAGUCUGCAACCCGACUCCACGAAGCUGGAUUCGCUAGCAAUCGCGCAUCAGCCACGGCGCGGUGAAUACGUUCCCGGGCCUUGUACACACCGCCCGUCAAGCCAUGGGAGCCGGGGGUACCUGAAGUGCGUAACCGCGAGGAGCGCCCUAGGGUAAAACUGGUGACUGGGGCUAAGU
rnacentral:rRNA from 1 species